GAUGAACGCUGACAGAAUGCUUAACACAUGCAAGUCUACUUGAUUUACCUUCGGGUAAUGAAGGUGGCGGACGGGUGAGUAACGCGUAAACAAUCUGCCCUUCAGUCUGGGAUAUCAGUUGGAAACGACUGUUAAUACCGGAUAUUAUGAGAUUCUCGCAUGGGAAACUCAUGAAAGCUAUAUGCGCUGGAGGAGGAGUUUGCGUUCCAUUAGCUAGUUGGUGAGGUAACGGCUCACCAAGGCGACGAUGGAUAGCCGGCCUGAGAGGGUGAACGGCCACAAGGGGACUGAGACACGGCCCUUACUCCUACGGGAGGCAGCAGUGGGGAAUAUUGGACAAUGGGCCACGAGCCUGAUCCAGCAAUUCUGUGUGCACGAUGAAGGUCUUCGGAUUGUAAAGUGCUUUCAGUUGGGAAGAAGAAAGUGACGGUACCAACAGAAGAAGCGACGGCUAAAUAUGUGCCAGCCGCCGCGGUAACAC
rnacentral:rRNA from 1 species